UAUAACUCGAUUACUUAUGUUCAUUAAGAUUUGCUUUCUGCAUGUCAGAAUCUGUGCACACGGGAGGAUUUACAAAAGGAACUACAAGUUUGUCUGAUGGGUGAAAUGUUUGAAGCAGGAAUCCGGGAAUAACUUACGUGGAUACUAUGUCUGCGAGUUCAUUCGCGAGAUGACCUUGUCACAGGGAACCGGAGGCGGCUAUACAAGUCGUUCGUAUGAAACGCCUGCGGGACUCUCUCCUAACGGAGGAUCGCAUACGAGCAACUCAAGAGGAAAUUGCGGGAUUCUUUCUUAGCGAGGUCCUAGCUCGAACUGGAGAAUACCAUGGGGAGUUCGUAUUUAUGAGUUAGAGA